rnacentral:rRNA from 1 species
AACGAACGCUGGCGGCAUGCCUAACACAUGCAAGUCGAACGAAGCCUUCGGGCUUAGUGGCGCACGGGUGCGUAACGCGUGGGAAUCUGCCCCUUGCUUCGGAAUAACAGUUAGAAAUGACUGCUAAUACCGGAUGAAGUCUUCGGACCAAAGAUUUAUCGGCAAGGGAUGAGCCCGCGUAGGAUUAGGUAGUUGGUGGGGUAAAGGCCUACCAAGCCGACGAUCCUUAGCUGGUCUGAGAGGAUGAUCAGCCACACUGGGACUGAGACACGGCCCAGACUCCUACGGGAGGCAGCAGUGGGGAAUAUUGGACAAUGGACGCAAGUCUGAUCCAGCAAUGCCGCGUGAGUGAUGAAGGCCUUAGGGUUGUAAAGCUCUUUUACCAGGGAUGAUAAUGACAGUACCUGGAGAAUAAGCUCCGGCUAACCCCGUG